rnacentral:precursor_RNA from 8 species
CACACUCUCUCUCUCGUGGCUGUGUGUGUUAAAAGUGCUGUUUGUGCAGGUAGUGUGUUUCCUCUACUGUAGGAGCAGCACUUCACAACACACACACUGCUGCUAACACCGUCUGAUC